GAUGAACGCUGGCGGCGUGCCUAAUACAUGCAAGUUGAGCGAUCAGACUUGGUGCUUGCUCCUCUUUCGUUAGCGGCGGACGGGUGAGUAACGCGUGGAUAAUCUACCUUUAAGCCUGGGAUAACUUCUGGAAACCGGUGCUAAUACCGCAUAACAUCUUUAAACGCAUGGUUUAAUAUUGAAAGAUGCUUUUGCUUCCAUCUAAAGUGGUACCCCCGUCGCAUUGCCUAGUUGUUAAGGUAAAGGUCUACCAAGCCAACAUACAUUACCUGACCGAACGGGGUGAUCGCCCACACGGGAACGAGAACAGGGUCAAAACUCCAACGGAAGGCGGAAGUAGGGAAUCUUCGGCAAUGAGCGAAGGCCUGACGGAGAAACGCGGCGUGGGGAAGGAAGGUCUUGGAAUGGUAAAACCCGGUGAUAAGGAAAGAACAAGGGUGGAAGUAACUAUGCACGACGUGACGGUACCUAAUCAGAAAGCCACGGCUAACUACGUG
rnacentral:rRNA from 1 species